UACGGGGGGGGCAAGCGUUGUUCGGAAUUACUGGGCGUAAAGGGCGCGUAGGCGGCCUUCUAAGUCGGACGUGAAAUCCCUCGGCUUAACCGGGGAACUGCGUCCGAUACUGAAAGGCUUGAAUCCGGGAGAGGGAUGUGGAAUUCCAGGUGUAGCGGUGAAAUGCGUAGAUAUCUGGAGGAACACCGGUGGCGAAGGCGGCAUCCUGGACCGGUAUUGACGCUGAGGCGCGAAAGCUAGGGGAGCAAACGGG
rnacentral:rRNA from 1 species